rnacentral:piRNA from 1 species
UAAUAUGCAGGAAUUAUGCAAAGUCUAACCCA